rnacentral:piRNA from 1 species
UUCUACUGUAGGCCUCUUCACUGGGUUGA